CCUACGGGUGGCUGCAGUGAGGAAUAUUGGUCAAUGGACGAGAGUCUGAACCAGCCAAGUAGCGUGAAGGAUGACUGCACUAUGGGUUGUAAACUUCUUUUAUAUGGGAAUAAAACAGGGUAUGCAUACCCUUUUGUAUGUACCAUAUGAAUAAGGAUCGGCUAACUCCGUGCCAGCAGCCGCGGUAAUACGGAGGAUCCGAGCGUUAUCCGGAUUUAUUGGGUUUAAAGGGAGCGUAGGUGGCUUGUUAAGUCAGUUGUGAAAGUGUGCGGCUCAACCGUAGAAUUGCAGUUGAAACUGUCAGGCUGGAGUACAGGAGAGGUAAGCGGAAUUCGUGGUGUAGCGGUGAAAUGCUUAGAUAUCACGAAGAACUCCAAUUGCGAAGGCAGCUCACUGGACUGCAACUGACACUGAUGCUCGAAAGUGUGGGUAUCAAACAGGAUUAGAUACCCUUGUAGUC
rnacentral:rRNA from 1 species